AACGGGGAUUAACAACGAAAUUAACGGAGGAAGGAAAAGUGAUGGAAAGUAAAACUCGGCAAAUCCUUUCCCCCUCGAUGUAUUUAUUCAACUACGAUCUGUUUGGACAAGGUCCGUGGCCGUUUCCAUCCUAUCGAUUUUCCCACACCCUCCCCCCGUUUCGCCGUAACCGUUCGAAUUUCUGCGUCGUCGUCGUCGUCGACGUCGCCGCCAUCCCCUCUGCUCGCCACCUUCCCCGGCACGAUGGUUUUAGUGGUUACAGUGGCUACACACCCCCGCGAUAAACUCGAGAAUUCGCCACGCUGGUAUUGCCCGGCUCGAAAUAGACGAGCGGAGCAGAACCGUCGCGCUAUUAACAUAAGAACACCGUGACCGAUCGCUUCGACCCACCAUUCCCUCUCCCCACGAUCUCUCUAUUACGCUGAUUUCUCCACCCUUGCCGUAUAUCGUUCGGAUACACGCUGCUUUUCUACCCCCUCUCUUUCUUUCUUUCUUUCUUUUUUUUUCCCCCCUUCCGUUCUUUCUUUCUUUCUUUCUUCACAGGAUACGUGCUCGAAAUGAGAACGAGGCAGGAAAUUUGUGAUCCCACGUUCGAGGCCUCGGAUUAAGAGAUUGCUUCUUUUCUACGGGACGGUUUCUGGAGGAGAGGAGAGUUAGUUCGAGGAGAUGAAGUUAAUGUUGCGUUAACAACUCUUCCAGCCCCUGUCCGAUCCCGGCGAGAUAUGGAUUUUCUGGGCAGGAGGGGGUGAAGCGGACGCUUUCGCGUCGAUUCGUUUUCGUCGUGGUUUUUAGCGUGAAAAGAAACAAGUUUCUUUUUUUUCCCCCCCUUCAAAACGAGAUGGAGACAAGAGGAGAACGUUCUUGUACGAGUGUUGUUCUAAAACUAAAUCCACGAGAUAAUUUUCGAUCGAAACGCCGAUUUAAAGGAAGAAUAAAACAAAUAGAUCCAUCGAAUCGAAGUGUCCCCCUUUUCCAACCAGAGCCAGAAGCUAAUUUCGGUUCCCCCCUCCUCGUGUGUUGUGACAAUCAUCGGACGAAAACGGCGGAAGAAGAAGAGCGGAUCACGCGUGGACCUGACACGCGAUCCUCGUCACCGGUUGCAUCCGUGGAAAAAGGGGGCCACGUGAAGGACGACGAGAUGGGGAGGGGGAGGAAAUGUCACCAAGCGGAACCCAAACUACGGCCGGAAGUCGCCGGUCACGUGACCGGGGCGACGCGCGACAUUGUACGCCGGCAUAAUAAACCGAGUCCUGUUCCCCCGUGUCCUAAGUGUUCUAUCUCUCUUUCUCUCUCUGGAAGAAGAAGAAGAAGAAGAGAAGAGAGAGAGACACUGAUUUAUGACAGGAUUCGAAGCGAUCGCGUCGAACCGAUCCCCCCUUUCUGUCCAUUUGGGGUUACGUUUAAAGGUUCGCCAUUCUAUCCGGGAUUCUGCCACCGAUUCGCCGCUCUCGAUCGGUUUGAUUCGAUUCACAGCGGACUGUAUUUGGAGAAAUCGAACAAUAUAGUUCCAAUUGAUCGAAAGGAUAGUCGAACGAAACUGGAUGAUUAAUAAAAUACGUCGUUUUAUCAUCAGUGACCAUUUCCAUAAAGUAGCAUAAAUUGUAUUAUGAAUCUGUGAUAUCUUAAAUAAUAAUUAUUAUCCAAUAUUUCUUUAAUUAAUAUUUAAUUGUAAUUUCAAUUAGAGAAAGAAAUAAUAAAUUUUUCAGAUCGUUCCGAGCUUGCAUCGGAGGCCAAGUUUUCGAACGAAAAUCUGGACGUUACAAAUUAUCGGUGCACAUUGUCCUGUCAGAGCGCGAAACGGCCGCGAUAUCGACGGUUACGCAUUAGUCGACUCGUAUCCGACGCUCGACACGCGCGUCUACGUACUCACCGCCAUUUGCAUACGUGAUUACACGUCGCGGCCGGACCGAAUUGCCCGGCCUUGUAUUAUCUUUAUGUACCUGUCCACGGUUCAAAGGGCUAAGUGUCAACCGUGGGCUUGGCUGCGCUUCGAUGAUUCGUGCGGGGUUGUGAAUAUCGGCGAAGGGAGAGAUCGAUCGAGGAAAAGGGAGAUCUGCGAGGAGAAAGAGUAAUUGUUAGAAGGAAUUGUCGAAUAUUUGUUUCGAGUCGAGUGAAAAUGCUUUUUUCGUGUGAAAUAAUUGGAAGGGAUUGGAUCGUGACGAGGAAAGUUAAAAAGGAAGAGGAAAUAUUUAAAGAUAUUGAAUAAAAAAAGAAACGUGAUUGUUCAAAACAAAAAUGCGAUCAAAUUAUUACGCAUUCGUGAUAUUAUGUUUCGUCUUAACUUGUAAGCAAUCGUCCUUUCCACGUUGGAAAACAGAAAAACACGCAAAUUCUACUCGAGCGACAAUCAAAACAAUCGACACGUGUUUGGAUACACGUUUGCGAUUCGACAUUGUUCGAGCGCGUUCCGUCCUGGAAAUAAAUAUUACGGUGUUAUUACAAAUUACGACGGAAUAGUCGAGCCGCAGACCUCGCCGUGAUCGGAUCGAUUCUCCUGCCUCCUUCGCAAAUCUGUUCCGUUUAAUCGGAUUUCGACAUCGAUUGCUAACCAGAUGGUAAAACGUAUCGCAGCUCUCCGAUCCAGUCGAAUAAACCACGUGAUAAACGUUCGAGUGGGAUAACUCGACUAUCAACUAUGCGAAACUCGCAACUAUGUCGAGUGGCUAAUUAUAAUUUACCUACAUAAAAAACACUCCAACGCUCCAUCUUACACACCCUUACCUCCUCCUAAUUAAAAACUCGCUCAAACUCGAUCCUCCGUAACGCAACCGCAGCUACCCUCUCGCGUGCCUCGCGUCACCUCGACGUCGUCCGCCACGGAAAAAGUGAGAAGAAGACAACUCACCACUUAGAUUCGUAAAUCCUGGACCAAGAAAGAAGAAAAGAAACUCGCGAGACAUUGAACGUUGGUUGGAAUUAGGAUUAUGUAUACGUUCCUCGCGUAUUUGCGCAUCCCUCGGACCGUUAGAAAGCUCGAGCGCAGUCGUGAAGCCACUCGAGCAGGUCGUUGACGGGGCCAGGAGGAUUCUCCCCGAGAAAGCAACCCCGUCGAGGAGUCAUCGAACAGUUCACUAUAUCAUCGAGCCACUCGGGAGACUAACUCUUUAAUCGCGCGACUUUUGAUCCAACGACACCCUUCCACGACCGAUCGGUCGCGAAUGAAGAGGGCUCGAGCUCGGAUCUCGCUUUUUCCAUCCACGUUUCCAUCCGCCGCGUCCAAAAUCGAAUCAAUCCCGCGAUCGAAUCUACGCCACCUCCUGUUCUUGCCCAUCGUUCUUACAAAGGAGAACCAACCCUCCCCCCUCGAGUUAAUCCAACCGACUUUCGAGGGAAACGCGGCGGUUCUCGGUCGGCGUGACGCUAUUCCGGGAAUGUGGGAAUCGCCACCGAGAUCCUAUCCGGGGGCCUCGUGAUUAACGCGAGUUUUUCCCUUCUUUUCUUCCUUCGAGAGGGGGAUAGAAGAGGAAGGGAGAGGAGAAGAUUCUUGGGAAGGAAUGAAGUUUGGAGCGCUAAGAACGAAGAAAAUGAAUAUAUUUCUUAAGAAAGGGAGAAAUGGAAAAUGGAUUCUUGGGAAGGAAUAAAGUUUGGAUAAAUUAUUGGAGAACCAAGAAAAUGAAUAUAUCUAUUUACCUAUUUCUUAAGUAAGGGAGAAAUGAAAAAUGGAUUCUUGGGAAGGAAUAAAGUUUGGAUAAAUUAUUGGAACGCCAAGAAUGAAGAAAAUGAAUAUAUCUAUUUACCUAUUUCUUAAGUAAGGGAGAAAUGAAAAAUGGAUUCUUGGGAAGGAAUAAAUUAUUAGAGUGCUAAGAACGAAGAAAAUAAAUAUAUAUAUCUAUUUAUCUAUUUCUUAAGAAAGAGAAAAAGUUAAGAACGAAGGUUUCUUUUUGGAUUCUUGGAAAGAAAUAAAGUUUGGAUAAAUUAUUGGAGAACCAAGAAAAUGAAUAUAUUUAUUUACCUAUUUCUUAAGUAAGGGAGAAAUGAAAAAUGUAUUCUUGGGAAGGAAUAAAGUUUGGAUAAAUUAUUGGAGCGCCAAGAA